rnacentral:tRNA from 1 species
UAAUGCAAUAGCUUUAUUAUAGCUAUCAAUAGCUUCAUUAAAUCGUUUAAGCAAUUGUAACGCAUUACCUCGA